GCAGUCCAUGGGCAUAUACA
rnacentral:miRNA from 1 species